AAGUUUAGGCUAACACAAACCAAGAGCCUUCAAAGCUCUAAUUACUGCUACCAACCCCAGUAAC
rnacentral:tRNA from 1 species